UGGUGGUUUGUGCUGUUAGUGGUUAUGUUAUGCCGUUUUAAUUUGUUUGAUUUUCCGGUGUUUGCAGUCAGAAAAUGUUAUAUUGUUUAUGGUGAUUGAAUUCUAUAAAUUAUUCAGGAUUUUUAUGUCCAUUUCACCGAAAGAUUUUCUUGGAGGUCUCAACUGAUUUAGUAUAACAUGGGAAAGGCAAAGCGGGAAACAAACGAUUCGCCGUGCAAGGUCACACACCUCCAGGGAAUUUUGUCUACUUGGAAACAUUGAGAGGUAGUCCUUGGAAAAUGAAUGAACAUAGAAAUACAGUGAAAUACCUUCAGUCAGUCAAGUUUACAGAAUUACCACUGGAUGACGGAGAAUCAAGCAGAUUGGAAGACCAACACCAGACCUAAAGAUUGAGUCACCUGGAAUAAGUAGAGAGAGAACAUGCACAUGUACCUUCGGCAAUACAAUUUACAAAAAAACACAUCUGGAUCUGUGGUUGUGAAGACACAAAUCCCUUGUACUGCUUCCCAUGCAUACUGUUUGGUGGGGAGGAAUGCUGGACUUCAAAAGGUAUGAGUGACCUAAAGAGAAUGGCAGAAAGAGUAAAAAAAACAUGAAAAUUCCCCAAGGCAUCUAAAGAAUUCAUGCUUCUGACUGCCUUGGGAAAAGCAAAUGUUAAGUCAAAAAUGAGCACUAGAUUUCAGUCAUCAGUUGAAAGAUAUAAUAAAAGAGUAGAACAAAACUGGCAUGUUUUGUCUCGGUUAAUUGACUGCAUUAAACUGUCUGCUGAUCAUGAAGUAACUCUCGGAGGGAGCAGUGAGUCCAUGGAAUCAGUAGAUGCUAGCCUCUUUUGUCAGAUGGUAGAUUACACUUGCAUGUUAGAUAAGAUAGUGGCAGACCAUAUGAAGAAUGCAACAGUUUUUAAAGGAUUAUCAAAAAACAUUCAGAAUGAUCUGUUAAGAGUGCAUGUUGGAAAUCAGCAGAAAAGAAAUAAAACAAGAGAUCAGCAAAACAAGUUUUGUAGCAGUGAUUGUAGAUGAAACAACAGAUGUAGCAGGGAAAUGGCAGAUUGCUGUUGUAUUCCGAUAUGUUGUAAAUAGCCAGGUGCAGGAACAGUUCUGGGGAUUUUUUACACCACAGGGGCAGUCUGCACAAGAUAUCACUGCUGUUGUGCUUCAACAACUAAAGAAAGUAAUCCCAAGCCAGACUGAGAAAUUAAUUGCUCAGUGUUAUGGUGGUGCUUCCUUAAUGAGUAGUGUGCAAAAUGAAGUGCAAUCAUAAGGCAGACAUUUAAAUGUGCUUGUGUUGUUUACUGCUAUGCACAUCAGCUGAACUUAGUGAUAGAAAGAGCAGCAUCACAGAAUCCUCAUGCAAGAAUUUUUUUUUUGAAUCUUACUCACAUUGCAGCAUUUUUUUCAUGAUUGUGACAAUACAAAACUAAUAUUGAUCAUGUGGUUGCAAGACAUAUUCAGGAAGUAUGUGGAACACUAGGCACUCGAUAUUAGAACCAUGAACAUGGUGUAUGAGAACAGAGAAUCAUUAAUGCAGUGUGUCCAUCACUUGGCAGUUUCAAGUACGAGUACAUAUACAACUGUAGGAGAAGCAUCUAGAUUAGAGAAGAUGCUUCAAGAUGAUGAAUUUGUUUUCUGGCUAACUCUUUUCCAUUCCAUAAUGCCUCAUGUUGAUAUUCUGUAUAGACUGCUUCAAUUUCAUAAUACAGAUUCAACAAAUGUCCAGAGUGAUGUCGGAACUGUUCUUGAUACUCUUAAAGUGCAAUCACAUAUUAGUAGUACUGCAGGAUGGCAUUCAAAAUCAGGGGCAGUACAUCAGAUGUUGUCUCUUGCUGCACUGGAUGUCUGUGAUCUGAUAAGCUGCCAGGUCUCUACACUAUUUCAACACUCUGGACAUCUUGAAGCAUCACUUUUACUGUCAUAUACAAAGUUUUCUGUUUAUUUAAAAGAAUUCCCAGAAGAGAUCCUUGAGAAAACUUUAAAGACUUACCCAUUUGUUGUUAAACAGAAGCUUAAAUCAGAAUUAGAAGUACUGUAUAGUCACAAGGACUUUGGAGGACCUGGAAGUGCUGUUCACUAUCAAAAUUCUUACUUGAAUAUUCCCUGACAGCUGAAUUUUCAGAGACCAUUGCUCUCCUGAUGAUUAUUCUUACAACUCCCAUGCCAACUAGUGAGCCUGGGAGGGUUUUUUCAACAUUAAAGAGAAUUAAAUCUGUUCUGUGUUCUACCAAAGACCAAGACAAAUUGGAUGUCUUAGCAAUGAUUUUGGUGGAAACACGGCUUAUACGGAAUAUACCCAGCUUCAAUCAGCAAGUUAUAAUAGAUCUGUUUGCACAAAAGAAGGCUGUCAGGUUGACUUUUUGUUUAAGUAAGGAGAGAGACCAUUAUAGAAUCCCAGUGGAAUCAAGGCAGAGAUUACAUCUGUUCCAGUUCAAGGAUGCUUUAUCUGCAGGAACAGGUCCAAAAAAUCAGAACUGAGGCAUAUUGUGCAUCUGCAUUGGCAGCAGUUAUAGUACAAGGGAGGAGAUCUGCAGCAAUGGCAGUGCUUUUCAUUGCCAGAGGAUGCAUUGUGCAGUAGUCUUUGGACUAAGUAAGAGGAGCAUACCACUUGCUUCAGAUGGGGAAAAAAGUGAGAAAUUGGGGUAUUUAGCCCAUCUCAAGGUUAACAUGUCCACAUAAAGAGGUCAUGGACUCUGCAUUAAGAUAGAUCUCAUAGCAAACUCUACAAAGUUGUAGCAUAUUGCAACUUCAGCAAUGGCCACCUAAGAGUAAAGAGCUUUGGAGUCACUCUUCUAAAACAGUGACUUUAACCAGUGGUUUGGACUCCACUGACUUUAAACAGUGUCAAAGUAUUUUUGGAUUCCAGAAAAAAAAGUUUAAUAUUGAGCUUUUGGACUGAUGGAUUUUGUACAUAAGAAGAAUCUUUUGAGUACUGAAUUUUGUCACAGCAGUUAAAAAAAGACAAAUAAGAAGACACAAAGAUGGCUUUGAUAGCAGUAGCAAGAAUGCCAUAGAGGAAGUUGCAGGUUCCAGUGUAAAAAUAAAUGGCAGAAGAAUUUGGAAGGAGAACAUGAAAAGUUGAUGAGGUGCUAAAACAAAUUUACAAAUCUGUGCUCUGUCACUAAGAGUUUACUCUCAGAGAUGGACGGCAGCGAUAAAUGCCUUAGUGAGCAGUACCUCUGCAGAGACUAGAAUCUGCAUUUUUUUUACAGGACUAAUGUACAUGAUUCACAAAUGAUAAGAUAAUCCAUCUAAAAUUUUGCACUGGAACAGAAUAGAUUAGGUCAAGGUGAAGAAUGAUGUUUUAUAGGUAGAAUUUGAAAGAUUAGAAUGAAUAGACACCAUAAAAUGGGUGAGUAUUUUGAAAAGUAUGAUGACUAUCUUGAAUUUUUUUUAAAUAUAACCCCUUAAAGUCACAGAGCAGAAAACACUCUGCAGAAUAAUUGUUUUCAGCAGAAGUGAAAUUUCAGUUCUCUCUUCUUCUUAAACUGAUGCUCCAUACACUAUUAGGAAUGCUGGUGUUUACUUUGUCCACAGAAGAUCUAGCAAUAUUGAGGAAUAAAUAUCCCAUAUUCAUGGACAUGAUGAAACAUCGGUUAAGUUUUUCUGAGAAUGUGAUAUUUUUGGAAUAAAG